UGUGAUGAUGUUGGGGCAAAUUGGUU
rnacentral:piRNA from 1 species